GCGCGGUGACCGUCGAGGUGACCCGCACCUGGCUCCAUGGCGGAACCGGCCGGCGUGGAUUAUUCCCCUCUCGGGAGAGAGGUCUGCAGCCGGGCCUCAGUGCUUCAGUUCGUGGCCUGGCAUUUUGUGAAGAGUGUCUUCAUCUCUGCAUCCCUAGUGCAACAGAGCAUGAUAAAAAUUCAAUAAAUAUUUAUUGCAGAGUCUUGAUGUCUUUUGGGAAAGGAACUCUAUGGUUACCUUUACUCUAAGGCAUGGUGAAGACCCUGUUUCUCUAGCUGUGCAGCUGCAAGGUCACUAGACAGAUAAACUCAAGCCAUAAAACAUGUUUUUCCUUGAAAAUUAAAAAACAACAACAACAACAAAAAAAAAACCCACAAAACCCUGAGGCUCAGAAGAUAAAUAUUUGCUGAAGAUCACUGUGCUUAUUAGAAGGGUGUUACUGAUUCUUACCUCAGAGAAGAGAAUGUCAUGGAGACAAAAUGACCUGCUUAGAGUUCUGCGCCCCCCAGCAUGGAGAGCAGAGCGCAAAGAUUUCCUCCAGACUCCCACAUUCUCCCUUGGAAUCCAAGAACUUGUCUACUAUCACAACACUUUAGUACCCACUUAGAUGGGGUCUCACUCUGUUGCCCAGGCUGGUCUCAAACUCCUGGCUUCAAGGAAUCCUCCUGCUUCGGCCUCCCAAACUUCUGGGAUUACAGAUAUGAGCCACCAUGGCUGACUGACGGGCACCAAAUUCUAGGAGAGGACUUGAAUAGGCUCCUAAGGAGGCAGCAGAAACCAAGGUAAUCACAAUGGUCAACAGCAGCGAAGGCAGCAC
rnacentral:antisense_RNA from 1 species